GUAAGCAGAGCCAGGAUGAGAGCCGGGAAUAUUCCUACAUUCUGGCUGCCUCUCCUGGCCUAACCCCGGCCCCCGCUCUGACCCCUCAGGGCUCUCUCAAACCACUAAUCUGGGGCUUAAUAAGCAGGGGUGAGGCUGGGGUGAUCCCUGCCAUCUGUGAGGCUGCCUCUGGCUGUGAAGGAUGUAACAGGGUCACCAGCAGCGCGGGCUGACCCCUCACACGUGCAAUUUACGAGGCAAAAAUUUCUCUCUUCAUAAAAAAGUCCCAUGUUCCUGUCACGAAGGGGCCCCAAACACACCAACACCGGUUUACUUGCAGCGGGAGCUGAGAAAUACCUGUGAACUGAAUUCCAAACAGCUGGAGUCCGGGCCAGCGAUCAGCCUGUUGGGGGGACUUUAGGCCCGUUCCCUUUCCCUGACAAGAAGCCCAGUCCUCUUCUCUGCCUAGGGCCCAGAUGCAGGGCUCCUACCUGAGACGGGAGCCGCCUAGCUGCAGGCUGAAAAGAGAAAGAAAGUCAAAGUCGCUCGGUCCCUUCCGACUCUUUGCCACCCCAUGGACUAUACAGUCCAUGGAUUCCCCAGACCAGAAUACUGACUGGGCAGCUGUUCCCUUCUCCAGAGGAUCUUCCCAACCCAGGGAUCGAACCUAGGUCUCUCUCAUUGCAGGCGGAUUCUUUACCAGCUGAGCCACAAGGGAAAACCCAGUGGCAGGCACAAGGGCCUCCAUUACUCCGCCCCUGCAACCCGAUGUGGGAGCGAGCCCUCUGUCUUUGGUUGCCCCUCCAUGGUUCCACUUUGUACUUCUAUGACCCAGCACUGCCUGGUCAAGCGGUGUUCUAGAGGGAAGGAAACACCGUGUGAGACCCUGGGGUUCUUUAUCCGAAGAAGAGAAAGUUGGUGAAACUUUGGAACCAGAAGCCACAAAGGUGGGAAGGUCUUUUUUUCACAGAGCCCAACAGGAGAGUCAGCAUUUCAGCAUGAGGCAGCAGGCUGGAGUGCUCCAGUUAUUCUGAAGGCUUCAAGGAGGGACCAGAGUGACCUUGAAACUCCUCUCUGGAACCCACCAGAAGCACCCCUCACCUCUGCACCACAGCACCCAUCAUUAUUCCUAUUGCUGUUACCAUUGGAUGACUUUCCUAAAAACUCCCCAGGUGUGUCCUGAGUGCCACGAGGCCACGAGCCAGACCUGGUCCCGGAAUGUGACACAGAGGGAGCUGUGCUUUGUAAACCCAUGCUGGUGGGAAGUUAACUCUCCCAUCUCCCCUUCUGGGCAGCUCUGCACGAGCUCCUGGGGCACAGGGUGGGCGUGGGGUCAGUGCCUGUGCUCAGGCUGCUCACAGGAGCACAAGUUAUGACCAGAGAAGUACUGGCCAGGCCAAGGGCUCUGGCUCCCGCCACUGUGUGGGACCGACUCAGCGUGCUGUCAGAGCCAGGGUAAGAGCUGCUUUCUGACCAUCCAGGCCCCUGUGCUGGGGUCUGGUGCCUCCGCCUUUCUUAGCAGGGAGCCUACUUUCCUCCUGGGGUCUUCUCCAGCUCUCAGGCUUCUUCUCCCAUCUGCUUCUUAUCUUUCCCUCCAGUGUUUAGAAAGUGUCAUCUUGAGUGGCGUGGGCUGUGAGCAGCUUGUGGGAGCAAGGAGAGGUUUGCUGUGAGGUGAUGGGGGUCCCCUGGGGCCUGGUUUCAGAGCUCAAAGCUUGUCAGCCUUGAAGGAGCCA
ensembl:lncRNA